AUGGGAUAUUCACAGACAUCUGUGGCCAGAGGUUGCAGUUCUCCCAGUGACUUUUGGAAGACUGUGCUGUGGAUCUGUGAAAUGCCAUUGAAUCGGCAGGCUGUCCCUCUGCCUGUCAACAUAUCAACAACAUACGCUGUCAGUACACAACUCUUCCCAGUGGUCACGUAUGGUUGUGAGAGCUGGAUCGUAAAGAAGGCAAAUGCCAAAGAAUUGAUGCCUUCAAACUGCGGUGCUGGAGAAGACUCCUGAAAG
rnacentral:lncRNA from 1 species